rnacentral:lncRNA from 1 species
UUAGCUGCUGCGUGCAAUAAGAUACUUGAACUUCAGAAAUGUGUUGCUAAUGACCUUCAGUAUACUCUUUCUAGACUCUGUAGUGAAAUAAACACUUUAUGUGUAGUGGAUCAUAGAUGAUAGGCAUUACUAAAACUGGGCUGAGUGCUGCAGAACUCAUCCGUUCUCUAUAUACAACGUGUUUUUCUGUUCUUGAGAAUGGCGUAUGAUGAAGAGCUGUGAACACAAAACAAUUGAGUUAAAGUGGAGUAUCCUUGGCUCAACAGCUGUACAUUCACACGUUUGAGAGGAACAAAACCUUGCAGUGAGACGUGCCAGGAACUCCAAGACUUGCUGAGAAAGCAUUUGGUGAUGGAAAAGGCAUAAAAUGAACAGAACAAGCAGGCUGCCAUAUCAACACGGAAAGUGCUCAGAAGAACUGUUCAUGUUGUUGGUUGGAAGCAACACUAAUAAUUAUGUUAACAGGAGUGGCACACGGCUGAUCUGCAUAGUAUUUGCAAACAGGCAGGAGCACCCUCUCCCCCAAGCAAAUGAUUUCUCAUUCCUUGGAUGACUCUGUAAAUACACGUGCAGAUUAGCUGGAGCUUCAGAAGUACUUAAACAGGUGAGCGUCUUCCUCCAUCAGAGCGUAAUGAAGCAGAGUUAAC